rnacentral:rRNA from 1 species
GACGAACGCUGGCGGCGUGCUUAACACAUGCAAGUCGAGCGGAGCGGCGAACGGGUGAGUAACGCGUGAGUAACUGCCCCCCUCUCUGGGAUAACAGUUGGCAACGGCUGCUAAUACCGGAUAGUGGGGGAUGACUCGCGUCCUAUCAGCUUGUUGGUGGGGUAGUGGCCUACCAAGGCGACGACGGGUAGCCGGCCUGAGAGGGCGACCGGCCACAUAGGGCUGAGUUACGGCCCGAACUCCUACGGGAGGCAGCAGUGGGGAAUGUGGCACAAGGGUGGAAAGCCGGAGGAUGCAACGCCGCGUGCUGGAUGUCGGCCUUCGGGUUGUAAACCGCUUUCAGCCAUGACGCGGUAGUGGCAGAAGAAGCACCGGCUAACUACGUGCCAGCAGCCGCGGUAAUAC